GCCCUGAGCAGUGGUUGCUGGAGCGCGCUGCUCCGCGGAGGUUUCUGGCGGUCGGUCGCUGCCGACUUCCGAGUCCCACUUUCAGGGAUGACAAACUCGGGGUGACACUGGUCUGGCGGGCACACCUAGCCUUCGGCGUAUGUGAGAUGCCGACGAGGAAGAGGGCAGCUCCGGGUUAGUGCGGGCUGGAGCUCCUUGGAUUUCCUGUGGCGUCUCAAAUCCAACGCAGCUGUGGUCAGACCGAGGUCCCUGGGAUUCGAGCCGGCAGGGAUGGUGUGACCGGGCCCUGCUCUAGACCAGAAAGUCCAGUGCGUCCCAGCCUUCUCGAGCGGGGGCUCUGAGGCAGAGGUCUUGGCCCCCAGUCGGGCGGAGCUCUUAAAGGCACACCUGCUGUACCCAUCCAGCCUGGCUUUCUGGGCCGCCUUCACAGCCAAACUGAUGGUUGGGCCCAGUUUGAAUCUGUUUUAGAUGAAAAAUUCACUACAGACAUGAGAUACUAGGAAGGGAUCAAACCUCAUGUCAGUGGCAGAGGAAGAAUUAGAAGCUAUAUUUCCUUUGAGGCCUGAAGAUCCAGUUCUGUCUAGCUUUUUCUGCUACUCACAAACUUUGGGCAAAGUCCCUACGCUUCUCUGAGCCUCAUAGUGGGGAUAAUACUCUUCCCACUUACCUCAGUCAGUUAAUGUAGAGGUCAAAGUCAUACAUACUUUCUCAGUCUUUUUUUUUUUUUUUUUUUUUUUUUACUGCUUAAACCAAAAUCUGGACCUUGAUGUGUUGCAGAACCACUUGGGCAUUUAUGAAGCACCCUGUCAGAGUAUUAUUAGAAAUGCUUCUCUCAGCAUCCUGAAAUAGCCUGCUUCCCAAGCUGCCUUAUUCUUAGAAGAAUCUUCCUCUCACCUUCACUAUAUUGUAACCCAGGGAUCCUGAAAUGGGAUGGAAGAAGGGUAUCUCACCUGGACUGGUGGCGUCCUUGAACCCUCCUGAACCUCUUGGAAAACUUGAAAGAAGCCUUUUUUAAAAAACUGUCUGGAGACAAAUGGAUUAAUCAGUUCACAGAUGAUCGUUAUGUUUGGUUGGGAGAGGAAGUCGGGUGACAAAAUCUUAGGCGAAGACCUGAGGACACCAAUCAGAGUGAAUCAUACAAAUUUUUAGACUGCUACCUGUCACGGGAGACAUUGCACAAAACAGAGAAAAGAGCACGGAAUUUGUAUCUAGAGAAUCCUGAGUUCAAAUCCUAGAUCUUUCUUUAUGCACAAGACAAAGACAAUGAGCCAGGAAGAAAUUCUGACUGUUGGGGCUAAGUUCUUGCUUUAAAUUCAGGCUGCUUGAAGAAAGUCUGGAACCUCACAGGUGGCUGGGUCCUUAUGGAACUCCAGGAAAACUCCAAACCCAGGCCAUUUCCAGGGCAGCCUCUCUCCUCCCUCUGCCUUUAAAGAGCCCAUCACUGCCUCUCUCUCCUGGGCUUCUCUAGGCUUGGAACCAGCACCAGUCUCUGUUCCUUCAGACCCCAGAUCAAGCUCUCCAAACUGGAAUCCUGAAGCCUCCCACAGGAUUGUGUCACUAUCAGCUUCACUCCUAGAACCGCUUCUGCUGCAUCCCAUAGAUUUUGGAUUAUCGUGCUUCCAUUUUCAUUCGCCUCCAGCUCCAAAUAACCCCGUGAUUUUGGAUGAUUGAUUAUGGGAAUGCUGCUUUUACUGUACAUCCAAGAGUCUCACAGACACAGCUCCCUCGGCCUCAGUGGACAUCUGUGGGAGCCUGGUUUCCAUGGUGUCAGGAUAUGGAGGUCCAGGGAAUGAAGAGCCUCGGAGGAUGACGCCUGGAUUGUCGAGCUCUGGCCAGCCGCACAAUUUGGCCAACCUUGCCAUCAAAAGCAAGAUGAAGAGCUCGCUUGUUUUCUCCUUCACUGAGCUCCAGAGAUUUGAAGAUAUCAAUUGAUCCUGUCAGUUGCACCUGAAUAUUCUCUUUGUGGUUAGUGGAAGCCAUCCCAUUCUAAAGGAAAAACUGUAGCAUCGGAUAAUUGAACAGCUCGCCACUCCUCCAGCUCUAGUCGGAAGCCCAAGUUUAAAGUUGGGUGUAAAAAGCAUUAGGGAUAAUCUCAAGGCAACGGGUUGCACGGGAGCUCCCAGGGCAGAGGUGGGCUGCCUACCAGACAAGGAUGUAAUAAAGGAGAAUCUGCAAUGGAUGCGAAAUCUGUACGAAGGAACGCCUUCUGACACUUGGACUGCCAAUAUCUGGUGGGCCGCGCAGUGUGGAAAGAGCUUCUAAGACACACACUGACUCGGCUGGUCCUCCGCACAGUCCAGUGCUGGGCCUGGGGGAGGGAGUCCAUGAUGGCCUGCACCUUCCAGAUGACACCGAGGCUCCAGAGGGUCUACUGUGACAGAUCUGGGGUCACAAAGGGUCAUUGGGGGCCCCCCGUACCACUAGACCAUCAGGCGAAGAAGGAGUUGCGGCACCCACAGUUGUAAUGAACUCUGGUCGUAAGGAGAAAGGGCUGCUGUUUCACAGAGAAGAAGCAGGGUACGUGUGGCCCCAGGUCAUCCACUAGCCUCUUCUGCUGUGCCCAGCCCUGACGAGAUGCAUAAGCUUAAAGGCAUGGUGACCCUGGACUCAGACCCCUAGAGGUGGGUUAAUGCAUGAGGCAAGCCACCUAGAUGGGUGAUGCUAGCCAAGAGAGGGGAGGAGAGCGAUCCUGGAGCAUGGGGGACGCAGGAGAUGAUGAGUCUCGGUCACUUUGGGGACCAGUGGCGGUGUGAGAGCUGGAGGGAGUCCCGCUAAACCUCUCUAGGAUGUUUCCUCAGGAGCUGUGAUCAAGCAGAGUCUUGGAGGAGCUGUGCCUGGGGGAACUGACCUUAAUGUGAGAAGCCUGGGUACCUGAGCAGGAAGGAGUGUUAAAGUUAUAGAUGCCGUUCGAGACUCCAGGAUCCUCUUUCCUGGGCCUGUGCGCCCGUUUCUCAUGGCUUCUCCCUUCGCUACAGAAUUAAGUUCUAAGGAUUGGAAGCCACAUCAUUGAGGGUGUUAGGCAUCUCAUCCUGCCCUCUCCCCCGACCCCAACCACUCUCCCCGACUCCUCAUACCUCAGCCAAUGAUCCCCUGACACAGAAUUACAAAAGCAUCACGCUCUGUUGUCAAGGUGGGACGUUGUUAAGGUGGGAUUCACACUCCAGAGCUCACGUGGGGUCAGGCUGAAGGUGGGCCCCAGCGGAGAUGACAGCCUUACUUAGCUCCUCUCUUGUCAAAUCCUGUUCACCUCAUUCUUUUUCUCCUAGGUGCACCCUCAUCCCCAUUUCUGUUCCUAGGCACCAGCCUUUAAGUCAACCCCAUCCUCUCCAGGCCGGGCAUCCUGCAAGGCCCUUUAUGUGAAUUAUCUCGCACGAUCUCUGGUUAAACCUGUGAGAUAACAUCCUCAUGUACCUUUAUUAUUAAGCUGAAGAAACCAAGGCUCAGAGUAGUUAAGUAAGUUGGUGAAAGUUGCACAGCUCAUACUCAAGUCUGAGUCUACCUCCAAUGCCCCUGGCUCUCACCCUUAUUCAUUCCCGCAGAAGAAAUAGAAAUAGUAUGGCUUAAUAUCAGAGGAAUAGUGGUAAACCCUGUCACUGAGGACAUGGCCUGGGUAAGGAGAGUUAAAGAAGAGAAGGUGCUGGAGAGGCCCCAGGGAGGCAAGACUAAGAUGUGUGAACCCCCGAUAUGCCAUCAAUCAAGAGAACACCUCAGUUAGGUAACCUCCUAGUCCCUGACAGUGCCCACACCAUGGCUGAGGGUAAACAUCAGAGACGGAGCACGGAAAAGUCCUGCAGCUGGAGGCAAGUAAAACAGAAGGACCCUUGAGUUUCCAUCCAACCCAGUACCUUGACGAUCAUGAGGAGGAUUCCAGGGCUCCUUGUAAAUUGCUUAAUCCCAUAAGGACCCGUCUGACAGCCUCGAGUCUGAGUCACUGCAGGACCACUGGUCCAAACCUGGGCCAACAUUUACAAUGAAAGGCCCUGCGUGCUCUGUCUCCGAUGGGGAUCCCAGAGGACAGAGAGAGAGGGAUCCGGCUUCCCUUCAAGAGCAACGCAUGUAAGUGUCGAGUUUUCUUCCAUUGGAACAUGGAAGGAGUCCUUCCUCAUUCAGGGAGGGGUUCAGCAGAGGAAGCGCUAAUAACGAUGGUGCCGGCGACAGUAACAAUUCUUACUACGUGCCAGAUACUGCUCCAAGCAGUUUGCAUGACAAACUCAUUUGAUUUUAUAACUAUCGGGAGGGUGCAGUGCCUUGGAGGCAGCCUCACCCAGGCCUGGCUCCUUCCUGCUGAUUCUGGAACCUUGUGAUUCAGCCCGAACUGCCAAAGCAGAGACCCUGAGCAAGACCCACAGCCGCUGGAACAUCAGGAGAGAGCUCUGACCCACACCUUAUGAUUCCUCUGAAGAGAUUCUUGGGUAGUAGAAGAGAGGCCAGGUCAUGGAAUAAACAUUGGCUCAUAACCCAGUUUGCACGGAGGGCUAUUCAGUGCCCAGUCAUCCCCAAGAGAACCACACAUGAGAAUUCACCAGCACGGAAAUAUUUAAGACAUAUUUGAGAAGGCACCCAAAUGGUGAAUCCAUCUGCAGGCAUUCUUUCUCCCUUUGAAGAAAUCCACAAAAGAAAGAGCAAAAUGCUGACAAGUUUUCAAAGCCGUGAUUUACAGGAAUGAUUUCCGAAAAGCAAGCGGACAUGCGAGUUCAUCAUCAAAUAAUAUUUCUAAAGCACCCUCUAGUGCCUGGCCCCAAGCCAGAUGAUUCAAUGCCUGGAGAGGCUGCAAACUGUUUUUAAAGGAAAAUGGACUCUCAUGUUGGCUCCUGAGAAAAAAGUCUGCACCAUUUAGGAUUCCUUAGGACUCUCUCUCUAAAUAAGUAUUAAGAAUGGAUUGCUUUAGAAAAAAGAAUCAGUGCAAUUAGAAACCAUAAAACUAUUAAAUAUAACUCAAAUCCCAGUUUGAAAUAGAUAUUAAGACUUAAAAGAACAAGUCAAAAAUUACACCUGGAAUCUGAAGAAUCUGAAAUUUAAGCGAAUCACAGGGCAGGAAAAUCUGCUCUGUAAGUGAAAAAGUUCUGAGCAUGAGAAAAGGUAAAAAUUGCAUGAAUACAUAGGUGUCAUGUAGUAGGAAUGCUAGACCCACCUGUCAUCUGAUUAUGCUGUGACGGUACCAGCGGACAGUGUUCACCCAGCAGAUUCUCCAGUGGUGUAGUGGAACGACUACUGCAGUAUGUAGAACCAGAAGACUCAUGGUCUAGGGUCAACUCUACUACAUACUUAGCUAUGUGAUUUGGAACCUGUCACUUAAAAUUAAUGACCCUAAUUUCUUCACUUGUAAAAUAAUGAUAAUUCUGUCAACUUUGUGGAAUGGUUUAGACUUUAGAGAUUAAAUAAGAUACAAUGGACCAGUUCCUUGAACACAGUACUUGCCCACAAACUGUCAAAGCUUUUUCUACUUGUCUGAUCGACUUGGCAUUCAGCAGUUUUAUGAUAUGUGUUCAGUAUGACUCUUGCACAUGUCUCCUCAAAGGAAGUUUCACUCUCCUCCCUCGUCAUUCCCAUGUCUCUGAAAACAGGAUCACAUUUUAUAUUCUCAUAUUGAAGUAGCAGAGUCAGUUCCUGCAUAGGCUAGUUGACUUUAAAGAUAAAUGCCUAAUUAUUGAUUGAAUGAUUGAUUGAUCAAUUCAUUCAUUCAUUUCACUCUCAACUUGUAAAUAUAGACUGGCCCCUUCACUAACUGGGGCCUUAUUAACAAGAUGGAUUAGACGCUUACAUCAUAUGCAAAAGAUCUUUGUAGGCACGGGAAUAAAGAAUACUGAGUCAUUUUAAGAAGUCACUUUGAAAAUGACUUUUGAACAUAGAAGAACUGGGCUUGUUCAAGCAAAUUAUAUUUCAAAGUUUUAUUUGUAAGGUUAUUUAUUACUGUGUGGAAUCUCACUCCUGUGGCUAGGGUCAAGGAAAAUGGGGACACAGGUGUCUGCCUAUUUGCACAGGCAUUAAAGAGUGUUGUAAAAUGAGCUUCAGCCUUUUAAGUUACUGUCUUUUCCUUUAUAAUAAUAAUCUCUUCAAUUUUACAAGGUCUAUAUUAUUUUUAGGUAAGAAAACACUGUAGAGUUCAUGUUUUAUUGUUCCUUGCAGUUAUAUAAAUUAUGUUUGGCCAAAACAAAUGUAAUUCCUACUGUGUGAACUGGGAACCCGAAAUGUUGAUUUUCCUCAAGUUAUAAACAAUGUGAAGAUAUGUUAUACUGGGUCACAAUUUUCCAGAGCAGAGCAAAAUAUAUAACUCAGUUUUAAUAACAAAACUGCAUAUAUCAUUAAAGUUUCCUACUCCACACAGAAUGUAUUAUAUUACUCUGCCCAGCAAGAGACAUCCUUUGUGUAGACCACAAUUUCUAAAAUACCAUUUGAUUGAAUGGAAAACAUUUUAGCCAUUUGUUAGUUUAAAAAAAAUGUAAUGGUUAAAUGCUCAUGGAAAUUCUGCUUUGUCUUUGCUGGGUAAAUAUUACAUUUCUUCUCACUAAAUUUGAAUGCCAUGGAUUUUGUAAACAACAAGGUCUAGGGGACAACUAUUAUGAGCCUUUCCCCACUAUUAGAUGAAUCUUCACAUUUUUAGCAUCUUAGAAGCAGAUGUCUGCUUCUUGGUCACACCAAUGAACCUUAUUUAUACAUGUAUUACAUCAACUUGAAGCUGCAUUGUAAUUAUUUACUUAUAAGCUUGCCUGUCCAAAUUGACUUGUAACUCAACAGGCCAGGGUCCUGACUGCAUUAUUCUCUAUUCUUGGCUCCUGGUCCAAUGCCUUCUACAGAGUUGGGGCACUAAAAAUGUUAAAUGAAGUAGAAAUGCUGGAAAAACUACCACCAAAUCAUCAAUUUACCCACCCACCUCUUCUUCUCAGAAAAAUUCCAAAAUUGGGGAGAUUUAUAAGUGCAACUACUUUUACAACACUGAAGAAAAUGAGGAAAGAUUAUUUCCUUCAUUUAAAAAGAGCCACAGAUGGGAUUAGCUAGUAUAGCCUUCUUAUUUCACAAAUGGGGAUUUGGGGGCCUGGAAAAAGAAAGCUUUUUUUGCUCUUGUUAAUGUCACAAAACCAGAGGCCAAACUGAGCCUAAUUGUGUUCAUAGUGUUUUGUUUGCUUGAUACAAAAAUAAUACAUGUUAAUUCUAAACAUUUUGCAAGUUCAAAAAUAUAUAAAAGAGCCAACAAUUCUAUGAAAAGAUAUUCCACAUCAGAACUUGUAAGAGAAAUGCAAGUCAAAACCACAAUGAACUACCACCUCACAUCCAUCAGGAUGGCUAAUAAAAAAAGAAAUGAAAAUAACAAGUGUUGGCAAAGAUGUGGGCAAAUUGGAACCUAUGUGCGUUGUUGGUGGGAUGAAAAUACUAUGGCAAACAGUAUGCUGGUUCCUUAAAAAAUUAAAAAUAGAACUACCGUAUGAUCCAUCAAUCCCACUUCUGGGUAUAUAUUCAGAAGAAUUGAAAGCAGAGUCUUGAAGAGAUAUUUGAACAGCCAUGUUCAUGGAAGCAUUAUUCAAUUCACGGUGUCAGUAAGUGGAAGCAGCCCAGAAGUCCAUCGAAAGAAGGACAAAUAAAACAUCAUAUAUACACACAAUGGAACCAUAUGCAACCUUAAAGGAAAGAAAUUCUGUCACAUGUUACAACACGGAUCAACCUUGAGGACACUAUGUAAGUUAAAUGUAGUCACAAAGAGACAAAUACUGUAUGAUUCCACUUAUAUGAGGUAUCUAAAAUAGUCAAAUUCAUCAAACAAAGUGGAAUACUGGCUUCCAGAGGCUGGGGGGAGAGGGAAAUGAGGAGAUGUUGUUAAAUGGGUAGAGUUUCGGUUUUGCAAAAUGAGCUGGUUCUGGUGAUCUGUUGCACAACAAUGUGAAUGUACUUAACACUACUGAACUGUACACUUAAAUAUGCUUAAGAUGGUAAAUUUGACGUUAUAUGUCUUUUGUCACAAUUAAAAAUUAAAAAUACCUAAACGAACAGAAUUUCUAAAUACACACGGCAGCAUAAGAGAUGUUAAGGUUAACACAUUUAGUUGUCUUAUCCUGUAGUAUUUAUAUAUUUGAAAUAGCAUUGUCUAAACGAUAUGGCACCUUUUCAUUUUUGUUAUAAUGUAAGUAUUUUGUUAUAAUGGGAGUAUUUCUAAAACUCUCUAAAUACUAUUUGAAAGGCUGAAUAAUAUCCCUUUAUAUGAAUAAACCACAAUUUACUUAAUAAUAGCCCCCAUUCAUAUUCUUCUCAUGUCUAUAAAUAAUGCUUUAUUUUCUAUUUUUGUACAUUCUUUGUUGUCUACAUGUCUGAUUCUUCCCUUUGAAUAGAGUCUCAGAACUAAAAUUAGUAGAAUGGACAUUUAAAAAUAUUUGCUACAUGUUGUUUAGUGUUGCUCCAAUAUCUUCAUAGAAACAGAACAUGCGUGCCUCUAGUUUAUCAUUCCCUCAUCUGCACAGAGUCUUCUCAUUUUUGCCUCUUACUCAUUAUUAUGAUUGUUAUUAUUAUUAUUUUGAUAUGAAAGGAAGGAUCUAGGAUUAUUUGUUAACCUACAUUUCCUUGCUUGUUAGUAAAACUGACACAAUUAAAAAUACUUUUCAGUCA